AGAGUUUGAUCCUGGCUCAGAAUGAACGCUGGCGGCGUGCUUAACACAUGCAAGUCGAACGAUGAAGCCUAGCUUGCUAGGUGAAUUAGUGGCGCACGGGUGAGUAAUAUAUAGAUAAUGUGCCUCUUAGUCUAGGAUAGCCAUUGGAAACGAUGAUUAAUACUGGAUACUCCUUCUGAUUAUAAUUUCAGUCGGGAAAGUUUUUCGCUAAGAGAUCAGUCUAUAUCCCAUCAGUUAGUUGGUAGGGUAAUGGCCUACCAAGGCAAUGACGGGUAGCGGGUUUGAGAGGAUGAUCCGCCACACUGGUACUGAGACACGGACCAGACUCCUACGGGAGGCAGCAGUGAGGAAUAUUGCACAAUGGAGGAAACUCUGAUGCAGCAACGCCGCGUGGAGGAUGACGCAUUUCGGUGUGUAAACUCCUUUUAUAUGUCAAGAAAAUGACGGUAGCAUAUGAAUAAGCACCGGCUAACUCCGUGCCAGCAGCCGCGGUAAUACGGAGGGUGCAAGCGUUAUUCGGAAUCACUGGGCGUAAAGGACGCGUAGGCUGGAAGCCAAGUCUGAUGUGAAAUCCUAUGGCUUAACCAUAGAACUGCAUUGGAAACUGGUUACCUAGAGUAUGGGAGGGGGAGAUGGAAUUAGUGGUGUAGGGGUAAAAUCCGUAGAUAUCACUAGGAAUACCGAAAGCGAAGGCGAUCUCCUGGAACAAUACUGACGCUAAGGCGUGAAAGCGUGGGGAGCAAACGGGAUUAGAUACCCCGGUAGUCCACGCCCUAAACGAUGAACACUAGUCGUCGGAAUGCUAGUCAUUUCGGUGAUGCACUUAACAGAUUAAGUGUUCCGCCUGGGGAGUACGGUCGCAAGAUUAAAACUCAAAGGAAUAGACGGGGGCCCGCACAAGCGGU
rnacentral:rRNA from 1 species